rnacentral:rRNA from 1 species
GACGAACGCUGGCGGCGUGCUUAACACAUGCAAGUCGAACGGUGAACUCCGCUUGCGGGGGGAUCAGUGGCGAACGGGUGAGUAACACGUGGGCAACCUGCCCUCAGCUCUGGGAUAACUCCAAGCAAUUGGGGCUAAUACCGGACAUGUCCGCUGACCGCAUGGUUGGGGGGUGGAAAGAUUUAUCGGCUGGGGAUGGGCCCGCGGCCUAUCAGCUUGUUGUUGGGGUAGUGGCCUACCAAGGCGACGACGGGUAGCCGGCCUGAGAGGGUGACCGGCCACACUGGGACUGAGACACGGCCCAGACUCCUACGGGAGGCAGCAGUGGGGAAUAUUGCGCAAUGGGCGGAAGCCUGACGCAGCGACGCCGCGUGGGGGAUGACGGCCUUCGGGUUGUAAACCUCUUUCAGCAGGGACGAAGCGAAAGUGACGGUACCUGCAGAAGAAGCACCGGCCAACUACGUG